UACUCUUAGUGGUGGAUCACUCGACUCGCGCGUCAAUGAAGAACGCAGCUAGCUGCGAGAAUUAGUGUGAAUUGCAGGACACAUUGAUCAUCGACACUUUGAACACACCCCGUGGCCUUGGGUUCCUCCUGGGGGCCACGCCUGUCUGAUGGUCA